rnacentral:lncRNA from 1 species
AUGGUUCCUAGUCAGAUUGGUUUCCGCUGUGCCACAAUGGGAACUCCUCUGAUUCAACCCCUAAUCUGGGAACUUCCAUAUGCUGAGGGUGCGUCAAAAAAGAAAGAAAGGGAGGGAGGGAGGGAGGGAGGAAGGAAGAAAACAGCACAAUAUAACUCAAUUAAAAAAAAAAAACCAAAAAAAACCUCAUGGACUUUCUGUGUGACUUGCAGCAUAACUCCUUGGCAUUGCUUCUACAGUGGCUGUGGCUCGACCCCUGGCUCAGGAACUCCUUUCUUUAAAUUUUAUGGCUGCACCCACCUACAAAUAAUAAAUGCCGCAGAGGAUGCACAGAAAAUGGAACUGUUGUACACCGUUGGUGGAAAUGUUAAUUGGUACAGCCACUAUGAAAAACAACGUGGAGUUUUUUUUACUCAGCCAUAAAAUAUUACUCUGCCAUCAAAUGAAUGAAACAUUGCAAUUUGUAGCAAUGCAGAUGAACCUAGAAAAUACUAUGCUUAGUGAAAUAAGUCAAAGACAGAGAAAUACUAUAGUCUAUCACUUAUAUUUGGAAUCUCAAAAACAGAACAAAUGAGUCUGGAGACAAAACAGAAGCAGACACAUAGAUAUAGAAAACCAACUUAUAGUUAACAAGUGGGAGGGGAAGGAAUCCCCUUGUGCUGCAGCAGAUUAAAGAUCCAGUGUUGUCACUGCACUGGCCUGGGUUGCUUCGGUUGUGCUGGUUCAGUCCCUGGCCCAGGAACUUCCACAUGCCCCAGGCUUGGCCAAAAUAAAUAAAUAAAUAAAGAGGAGAAGAAAGGAGGGAGGGACAAAUGAGGAGUAUAGGAUCAUCAAAUAUAAACUACUAUACCUAAAAUAGGUAAGCAACAACAAUGUACUGUAUUCACAGGGAAUUAUAGUCAAUAAAUUGUAAUAACCUAUAAUGCAGUAUAAUCCUUAAAAAACUGAAUCGUUAUACUGUACCUCUGAAAUUAACACAAUGUUAUAAAUCACGUAUAAUAAAAAAAUGGUAAAAACCUUAAAUUUUAUGUUGUAUGUGUUUUUGCAAUGAUUGGGAAAAACCUGAAAAUAUGUCUUUAUGAAUGCAUAAUCUUUUUUUUUUUUUUUGUCUUUUUGGGGCUGCACCUGUGGCAUAUGGAUUUCCAGGACAGAAGUUGAAUCAGAGUUGCAGCCACCGGCCUACAUCACAACAGGAGCCAAGCCUUGUCUGCAACCUACCCCACUGCUUACCACAAUGCUGGAUCCUUAAUCCACUGAUCAAGGCCAGGGAUCAAACCUGUGUCCUCAUGGAUACUAGUCAGAUUCAUUUCUGCUGAGCCACCAAAUGAAUUCCAGAAUGCAAAGACUUUUUUAUUGAAACACUUAAUGGAGUUUCUGUGUGGCACAGUGGAAUUGAAUCUGACUAGGAACCAUUAAGGUUUGGGGUUUGAUCCCUGGCCUUGCUCAGUGGGUGAAGGAUCCAACAUUGUGAUAAGCUAUGGUGUAGGUUGAAGAUGCAGCUUGGAUCUGGCAUUGCUUUGGCUGUGGUGUAGGCUGGGAGCUGUAGCUCCAAUUCGACCCCUAGCCUGGGAACCUCCAUAUGUCAUGGGCGCAGUCCUAAAAAGCAAAAUAAAUAAAUAAAUAAAUAAAUAAAUAAAAAGAAACACUUUAUGUCAAAGCACAGUCUUUCUGAAAAACUAAAGACAGAGUUAUCAUAUGAACCAACAAUCCCACUCCUGGCUAUGUAACAAGACAAAACUAUAAUUCAAAAAGAUAGAAGUUCCCGUUAUGGCUCAAUGGUUAACAAAUCUGACUAGGGACCAUGAGGUUGUGGGGUCGAACCCUGGCCUCACUCAGUGGGUUAAGGAUCUGGUGUUGCCAUGAGCUGUGGUGUAGGUCACAGACACGGCUUGGAUCCAGCAUCGCUGUGGCUCUGGCAUAGGCUGGUGGCUACAGCUCUGAUUAGACCCCUCCAUAUGCCUUGGGUGUGGCCCUAAAAAGACCAAAAAAAAAAAAAAAAAGAUAAUGUACCCCUAUAUUAAUAGCCACAUUAUUUAUGACAGCCAAGACAUGGAAACAACCUAAAUGUCCAUCAACAGAUGAAUGAACAAAGAAAAUGUGAGUUGUAGCUCAGCAGGUUAAGAUCCCAAAAUAGUGUCCAUGAGGAUGCGGGUUUGAACGCUGACUUCACUUAGUGGGUUAAACAUUCACUUGUGGGUUGCCACAAGCUGCUGUGUAGGUUCAGGUGCAGCUCAGAUCUGACAUUGCUUUUGUGUGGCCUAGGCUUCAGCUGCAUCUCCAAUUCGAUCCCUAGCUUGGAAAAUUCCAUAUGUUGAAGGUAUGAUCCUAAAAAGAAAAAGAGACGAAUUCAGCAAAGUGGAUGAAUUUAGAGAUUAUGCUAAAUAUGUGAGAAAGAGAAAAGAAAAUACCAGAUGAUGUCACUUAUAAGUAGAAUCUAAAAUAUGACACAGGGAGUUCCCAUCGUGGCGCAGUGGUUAACAAAUCCGACUAGGAACCAUGAGGUUGCAAGUUCGAUCCCUGCCCUUGCUCAGUGGGUUAACGAUCCGGCGUUGCUGUGAGCUGUGGUGUAGGUCGCAGACGCGGCUCAGAUCCUGCAUUACUGUGGUUGUGGUGUAGGCCAGGGACUACAGCUGUGAUUAGAUCCCCUAGCCUGGGAACCUCCAUAUGCCACGGGAGCGGCCCAAAGAAAUGGCAAAAAGACCAAAAAAAUUUUUUUAAAUAAAAAAUAAAUAAAUAAAAAAAUAAAAUAUGACACAGGAGUUCCCGACGUGGCUCUGUGGUUAACGAAACCAACUAGGAACCAUGAGGUUGCGGGUUCAAUCCCUGGCCUCGCUCAAUAGGUUGGGGAUCUGGCACUGCCGUGAGCUGCGGUGUAGGUCACAGAUGCGGCUCAGAUCCUGCGUUACUGUGGUUGUGGUGUAGGCCAGGGACUACAGCUGUGAUUAGAUCCCCUAGCCUGGGAACCUCCAUAUGCUGCAGGAGCCGCCCUAGAAAAGGCAAAAAGACAAAAUAAAAUAAAAUAAAAUAUGACACAACUGAACUUAAAAAACAGACUCACCGACAGAGAACAGACUUUUGGUUGCCAAGGAUGAAUGGGUGGGGAGGGAUGGAUUGGGAAUUUGGGGUUAGUGGUGCGACCAAGAAGGGUGGGGUAGCACUGGAUGUAGGAGACAGCUGGAGGCGGUGGCAACCUGUGGUUUAGGAAACACCCCCUAACUUAGACCCCUUCCUCAUGCCACAGGCUGUGUCCCCUAAACUGGCUCAGGCGUCAGAGUCCUGACUUGACCCAGUACACGAAAUCCGGAAUGUUAGCCUCAAAGGUGAGUCCUGCCUUUUUGGCCCUCACUUCAGUCCAGAAGUGCACUUCUGGGCAAGGCCAAUGAGACCCUCUGCUCCUGGCCCCCUUGAGUCCUCCUUCCUUGGUGCAGAGGACACUCUGAGAAGAGAAGGAAAGAAAAGGUUUGUGGAGCGGUUUCGGGGUGUCGGAAUUCAGCGUCCUUUCCAACACUCUGCAUUACUGCCAGGACCUUUGUGCGGGUCCCCAGGACAGGAAGGAGCCCAGAAGGUAUGGCCUUCCCCAUCUCCUGUAUUCCUCCAGCACUGUGGCCUUGAGACACCCUCUCUACUUCUGCCCUCAGCCAUGGGGACUGAUCUUUUCCGGAAGAGGUGAGAGCAUGGAGGAGGUCAAAAUGUGGCAAGAACAGCACAGAACAAACCCUGGGGACCUGUGAGCAGUUUCCUUGCUCUGGAGGGGGUUUCCUGUCAGGCUGAGGAGCCAGGGGUUGCCCAGAGCAUAACUCUGUUGUGUUAUAUAGACAAGGGAUGAUAAUGUAGGCCACAAAGGAAGACAGUUUUUAGGUGUACAAGCAGUCCCAGUAAGGAGCUAUCAGGUGGAAGACGAGGAAUUUGACUGAGCUUGUGCAAAACACAUACUUAGGUGAUUGACAGAGACAUCAAUGUUUUAAUGGACAGGGGACCUAACACAUCCAGAGUAAGGUCCUGGAGAUACACUCCAUCUGAGUAGGCAGACAGCAGGCACCAUGUAGCAGCAGUCUUCCCUAUUGGGGAAGAGAGGAAGGUUACCUGCUUUAGACGAAUUUCAGGAUGGAUCACUGGUUAUCAGGGAAAUGAGCACAGGGAACAUGCUCCUUACAAUUGAUAGUUGAUAACUAUCAAAGUGAAGAAUUUCUGAUCUAAAUACUAGAAUAAUCACUAGCUGGGGCUGAGGCAAGUAUCUAGGCAUUUACCUAUUAGGCUUUAUUAUUAAGAGGGAAGUUCAGCCAUGUGAGUAGAGCACAGGUGAAUCAGAUUGGUAGGGCAGGGGACAUAGAGAGAGUCAAGAAAAUAGCCAUCAUGGGUGACCUGAUCAUACAUCAGUGUUUCUCACUCAGUUGGGCACAAUCACCUACUGUACAAGCAGGAGACCCCUUUCUUUUCUUUUCUUUUUUUUAAUUUUGAUUUUUAGCAUAUGGAGGUUGCCAGGCUAGGGGUCUAAUCAGAGAUACAGCUGCUGGCUUACACUACAACCACAGCCACAGCCAACUCAGACCCAAGCCUUGUUUGUGACCUACACCACGGCAAUACUAGGUCCUUAAUUCACUGAGCGAGGCCAGGAAUCAAACCCACAACCAAAUGGUUCCUAGUCGGCUUCGUUUCCACUGGGCCACGACUGGAACUCCUGAAGGCCCUUUCCUUGAGGGAACAUAAGUAGCCCUGUUCCUAUUGUCCAGCUGCUACAGUGUUGCCUGUAAUGGUGCCUGUAUCUCUUUUCCAUAUUACCAGUAUCAGACAUGUUUCUUUUCUCCUCCCUGAUCACAGCUUACAAAAUGUCUUUAACAUUUCAGGCUGCAAGCAUUUUGAGAGCAAUAGGAUGUUUAUUUGCUUCCACUUACCAGCGGAUGUCAACGUGAGUUGGCUUAUAGGAGUCUGAGAUAAUAUCCAGUGUAACACUUCAGUAAUCGUUACUACCAAAGACUCUUAAAUGUUAUUAACACUCUUGUGAAACUGUCCCCGGCGCUAUUAAGAAGGAUGGAACUCCAGUCCAGCCCUUGAAGUCUUUCCUAGGGCUCCCAGCCUGAUGAUUGGCUCUUUUCCAGGCGAUUCAGGUGCAGGGGAAACCUUCCCUGAGGGCUUUGCACUACAUUACCCGGAACAACUUGCGCUAAGAGACAGAAACAGUCAUCCAAUGAAAAUCCAGAAAAGGCGCGUUUCCGGAAGGGAGAACCCGCUGUAGAGAGACUUCCGUCUCAUGGCGGCCAUUUUGGUUGAUGUUGCGUCUGUAGAGCUGGUGCGGAGCUAGUCUGUGCGGCGUUGGGAGCGAGGUGUCGGGCUUCGAAGGAGGAGGAGGAGGCUCUGCGCGCACCGCCCAGGGCGGGCCUGCGGGUCUGGACACCGCCGCCU